rnacentral:tRNA from 1 species
GCCUCGGUGGCUCAGUAGGUAGAGCGUCCGACUGUUAAUCGGAUGGUCGUAGGUUCAAGUCCUACCCGAGGCG